rnacentral:rRNA from 1 species
AUUGAACGCUGGCGGCAUGCCUUACACAUGCAAGUCGAACGGCAGCACGGACUUCGGUCUGGUGGCGAGUGGCGAACGGGUGAGUAAUGUAUCGGAACGUACCUUUCAGUGGGGGAUAACGUAGCGAAAGUUACGCUAAUACCGCAUAUUCUGUGAGUAGGAAAGCAGGGGAUCGAAAGACCUUGCGCUGAUUGAGCGGCCGAUAUCAGAUUAGCUAGUUGGUGGGGUAAAGGCCUACCAAGGCGACGAUCUGUAGCGGGUCUGAGAGGAUGAUCCGCCACACUGGAACUGAGACACGGUCCAGACUCCUACGGGAGGCAGCAGUGGGGAAUUUUGGACAAUGGGGGCAACCCUGAUCCAGCCAUGCCGCGUGAGUGAAGAAGGCCUUCGGGUUGUAAAGCUCUUUCGGCCGGGAAGAAAUCGCAUAGGCUAAUACCCUGUGUGGAUGACGGUACCGGAAGAAGAAGCACCGGCUAACUACGUG